AACGAACGCUGGCGGCAUGCCUAACACAUGCAAGUCGAACGAGACCUUCGGGUCUAGGGGCGCACGGGUGCGUAACGCGUGGGAACCUGCCCGUAGGUUCGGAAUAACUCACCGAAAGGGGUGCUAAUACCGGAUAAGGUCUUCGGACCAAAGAUUUAUCGCCUUUGGAUGGGCCCGGGUUGGUUUAGGUAGUUGGUAGGGUAAAAGCCUACCAAGGCGACGAUCCAUAGCUGGUCUGAGAGGAUGCUCAGCCACACUGGGACUGAGACACGGCCCAGACUCCGACGGGAGGCAGCAGUGGGGAAUAUUGGACAAUGGGCGCAAGCCUGAUCCAGCAAUGCCGCGUGAGUGAUGCAGGCCUUAGGGUUGUAAAGCUCUUUUACCCGGGAUGAUAAUGACAGUACCGGGAGAAUAAGCUCCGGCUAACUCCGUG
rnacentral:rRNA from 1 species